UGUUCUUCUACCACUCAUACAUAUAUUAUUUGACCAUUUGCUUUGCUAAGAUUCAAUUCUUUGUGAUCUGAAAGCAACUGACUACUCAAUACCAAUCAGUGCAUGGAGGGAACUCCUGUCCACCACGCCGGCGACAGGAACAUGGAAAACGCAGUCCACGGUGCCACCAAUGAACAAGGCCGAGACAAGCAUUGUAAGGAUCCCAGUUAGAAUGAUGCUUGAUCUCCUGGUAGAGCAUCUUGGGCUUCACAAGGCCAA